rnacentral:rRNA from 1 species
AGCAGCCGCGGUAAUUCCAGCUCCAAUAGCGUAUAUUAAAGUUGUUGCAGUUAAAAAGCUCGUAGUUGAAUUUCGGGGUUAGUAGGCUGGUCAUGCCACUGGUAUGUACUGGUCUUACUGAUUCCUCCUUCCUGAUGAACUGUAAUGCCAUUAAUUUGGUGUUGCAAGGAAUCUGGACUGUUACUUUGAAAAAAUUAGAGUGUUUAAAGCAGGCUAACGCUUGAAUACAUUAGCAUGGAAUAAUGAAAUAGGACGUUCGAUCCUAUUCUGUUGGUUUCUAGGAUUGACGUAAUGAUUAAUAGGGAUAGUUGGGGGCAUUAGUAUUCAAUUGUCAGAGGUGAAAUUCUUGGAUUUAUUGAAGACUAACUACUGCGAAAGCAUUUGCCAAGGAUGUUUUCAUUAAUCAAGAACGAAAGUUAGGGGAUCGAAGACGAUCAGAUACCGUCGUAGUCUUAACCAUAAACUAUGCCGACUAGGGAUCGGAUGAUGUUAAUUUUUUAAUGACUCAUUCGGCGCCUUACG